rnacentral:rRNA from 1 species
CAGUCGCCGCGGGAAUACAGAGGGUGCAAGCGUUAAUCGGAAUUACUGGGCGUAAAGCGCGCGUAGGUGGUUCGCCAAGUUGGAUGUGAAAUCCCCGGGCUCAACCUGGGAACUGCAUCCAAAACUGGCGAGCUAGAGUAUGGUAGAGGGUGGUGGAAUUUCCUGUGUAGCGGUGAAAUGCGUAGAUUUAGGAAGGAACAUCAGUGGCGAAGGCGACCACCUGGACUGAUACUGACACUGAGGUGCGAAAGCGUGGGGAGCAAACAGGAUUAGAUACCCGGGUAGUCCCUGUCUCUUAUAC